GAUGAAGAACGCAGCGAAAUGCGAUAAGUAGUGUGAAUUGCAGAAUUCAGUGAAUCAUCGAAUCUUUGAACGCACAUUGCGCCCGCCAGUAUUCUGGCGGGCAUGCCUGUUCGAGCGUCAUUUCAACCAUCAAGCCCCCGGGCUUGUGUUGGGGACCUGCGGCUGCCGCAGGCCCUGAAAAGCAGUGGCGGGCUCGCUGUCACACCGAGCGUAGUAGAUUUUAUCUCGCUCAGGGCGUGCUGCGGGUUCCGGCCGUUAAACCACCUUCAUAACCCAAGGUUGACCUCGGAUCAGGUAGGAAGACCCGCUGAACUUAAGCAUAUCAAUAAGCGGAGGA
rnacentral:misc_RNA from 1 species